CUAACGGCUGAACCAGCAAUUUGGGGGAAUGUAUAGCGGAAGCUAGUUGCAUUAACUAUUAGUUAAUGCAAGAUCGACUACGUCGAAUAAAGUUCUAGGUAAAAUAAUAAUGAUGACAAUUUUUACCUAUAUGUCUUGACCAAAUCUCGUGCCAGCAGUCGCGGUAAUACGUGGAAGACUAGUGUUAUUCAUCUUUAAUAGGUUUAAAGGGUACCUAGACGGUAAAUUUAGCCCAAAAAGGGUACGGAUUUACUAGAGUUUUAUGUGAGGAGGGGAGUACUUGUAGAGUAGAGAUGAAAUUUUUUGAUAAUAUAAGGAAACUGGUAACGGCGAAAGCAACCUUCUAUGUAUAAACUGACGUUGAGGGACGAAGGCUUGGGUAGCAAACAGGAUUAGAUACCCUAAUAGUCCAAGCAGACAAUUCUGAAUGCCAUAGAUUAGAUUUUUUUGGUCUAUAAAUGAAAGUGCAAGCAUUCCACCUUAAGAGUAAUGUGGCAACACAGGAAUUGAAAUCAUUAGACCGUUUCUGAAACCAGUAGUGAAGUAUGUUAUUUAAUUCGAUAAUCCACGAAAAACCUUACCACAACUUGAAUAUUAUUAAUUUAAUACAAGCGUUGCACGGCUGUCUUCAGUUAAUGUCGUGAGAUUUUGGUUAACUCCAUUAAAUUAACGUAAACCCUUACUUUAUUUUUUUAUAUAAAGUAGUUCACCAUUAUAUUGGAUAUGAUAAAAGGGACUAAGACA
rnacentral:rRNA from 1 species